AAUAGUGCGUAGCCUCUUUCCUGGAUCCCUUGCCUUCUCUUUCCCUCGACCUCCCCAAUCCCCGCCUCCUCCUCGACCCCCUCAUUCCUUCUGGCCGCCGCCGCCUCCUUCUCGGCGAUGCCGGCGAGCGUGUCCAUCGGGGGCACCUCGUGUUGGAGGAAGUCCUGGCCGUCCUCGGGCGAGGAGCAGGACGUGGGCGGCGGCGGCGGCGAUGACGGGGGCACCCGCUCCGGCAGCCGCCUACUUCUCGGCGAUGCCGGCGAGCGUGUCCAUCGGGGGCAUCUCGUGCUGGAGGAAGUCCUGACCGUCCUCGGGCGAGGAGCACAACGUGGGCGGCGGCGGCGGCGAGGACGGGGGCGCCCGCUCCGGCAAACAACUGCAGCGCGCUGCCCACCCCGGGUCAAAUCGCACAGGGGAGGCAGAUCCGGCGGCUGGGUGCCGCUCAUCUCGUAGGCCCUCGCUCCAGGUCACCGAGGAGGGGAUGUAGCCGAGUCUGUGUAGUUGAGGGUAAGGAGGGCUGAGGUGGGAGGGGAAGGAGAUGGUCAUGGAUCUGCUCGAGAAGGUGAGAGGACGAAGACAGGGGGUGCUCGAGGUGGUCAAGGCAAGGCGGAGCAGCAGAGGACGGAUGGUCCACGAGCUCAAGUUUAAGGCGGAUGGCGGCCUCAACGGGUGGGUGACGACAUCUGCACCUGGUUCCUCCUUGCUGUGGCAAAAUAGGAGGCAAUUCGCGCAGUCAUGCAGCGGAUGGAGGCCUCGGCAGGUGGGUGACGGCGGCUAUAGAUGGUGCACGAUGACGACUCCCAGCGACGGAUUCGUCAAGGCCACGUCCGCGGCACGGCGAGACGCCCGCGAAGCAUUGCUUGCUUCCAUGCCGACGCGAGCUGCCAGUCCACCCAGCUCACGAAUAGCCUCACGGGUCUCCGAUCCAGCACCCUCCCUAUGGCACAGCUCCACCAUGCUAACUGAUGCUGCCUACGCCAUGGAAAGGGCAAGUAUCUUCUUACCCUUUUAUCUCAGUAUGUGUCCUAAUGUGGUGGAUGGACUUGGUAACAUUGUUUGCUACGAUCGAGGACCCAGCACAGCUUGUUGUCGAGAGACGUGAAGAAAGUCUGAUAGUAGUUGCUGCAUUCGAGUUGAUUUCUAUCCCCAGAGCAUCAAUCUUGGCACACUCUUUGAGAAGCAAACAGGUUUUGUUAAACGUGAACACGUUUGUGUCAAGGCUUUCUUGAUGGUGGAAGAAGAAAUCGAGGUCGUGAAAACUCGGGUGCUGCUGAAUUGCUAGAUUACUCCACUGCUGAAUUGCUAAACUACUAGCCGUUUUCCUCUCCUUUGUCGUUCUUUGAUUUGUCCAUGGUCACAGACCAAGACGACAGGCAGCAGUGAGUCAGUGACUGGUUGGUUGGGAGAUAACACUCGUUCUUUUCUUGUUCUCGGUUUAGAAAAAAGAGGUCGGAGGUUCUUUUUUAUAUGCAGAGAAAAUACCAUGUUUUUGGGAAAACUGCAGUAUUAAUGCUACAGUUCUUUGUGGUUGUCAAACAGGUCACAGUAAUUAAAACCAUGGUAUUCCUAAAAACUAUAGUAUAUUUAAAAUACAUAGAAAAUACUGAGCUACCAAACAGGGCCUAACUUCUUUACCAAGUACAAAUAACACUGCAUACUACUUUGGCUGUUGCCUGUUGGUAUCAACCGUUUAACACGUGCUAGCUUCAUACAUGUGACAUCUCAUGUUCCUUAUUUAGUUUUAGCUCAUAUCGUUCCAGCUUUUAGUUUACAAUUUAAAUCUGAGUAUACACACUUUCCUUGGUUUGUAUUAACAGGAAUAUUAAAAAUACAUAUAUAGUACAACUCACAAUAAAAUAGUUGUCGGGUUCAGUUUUCACUGCUGAUAGAUACCUUCUUCAUGACCCCUCUUUGCAUUAUUUCUAGACCAGUAUAUUCUCUUAACCGUCCUUGUAGCUCUGGUAGAUGACAUAUGGAGAACUGCUCUCAAUUGUGAGACUCAUUCUUGCUAUCUUCCGAGUGUGUGGUUCAUCGACCAGACUGCUGCUUUGCUGUAGGGAAAACUGUUUUGAAACCAAGUCUGAAUUACAAUGGUAAGAUAUAGUGCCGCCAAGCAUAUUGUAGUAUCAUUUGGUUGCAUUGUAUAUUUAAUAGUAUUUUGAUCUCUGUAAUAUGGAUAGCUGCUUUUAGGUGUAACACAUACAUAUAUAUUGUCUGUUUGAACCAGCACAACAGCCCAAUCUUAUGCUUCUGAUGCUACAGGAUUUUCCGGGCUACGAAAGAAAAAUAGUUGCUAUGAUUCUUCGUGAUUUUAAAUAUAAAAAAUUCUUUCCUGGGUUAGUGCCAUCUUGCAGCAUGUUUGUGCUUAUACGAUGAUACCUUUGCUCCACUUAUAUCUUGCAAUGUGUACUUCCUUUCUAAAUGCCGCCAUAAGUUGCAAGGGGCAGGGGAGAUAGGUGCCGAGGACAGGGAGCAACGGGUUGGUCGCGGUGGGCUUGAGCUGCUGGGGAGAUGGAGGAGGCCGUCGUGAUUCGUGAUGGAGGCGGCGCCGCCGGCAAGCUGGUUGAGCUUUAAGAAGGAGAUUUUAAUAGGUUGGUCAUUCAUAUCUCUGGCCAUGUGUGAUGAAUUUUUUUUGUUAAUUGCUAAUGCUUUAUUUCAGAGAACCAAAUCUGCACCAUGCCUCCUCACCCUCUCAGGUUAUUGUUUAACCCCUUUUGAUAGUUUUUUAGGUUUGUCCUUGUCCUUCUUCCCUAAGCGCUGCAAUUUUCUACCCUAUUUGUUUACUGCUUAUUAUCGCGUUAAUUCCUUUGUAUUCCUGGUUUUUCCGGGUGUCGUGUUUGUUUUUGUGGUGCUGCUUAUACGUGUGACUACCGUAUGAUCGUAUAUAUAUGCUCGAAAGUAAAAUGAUUUUUCCUUGGCACAAUACAUAAUUUGCAAUGAGAUGGUAGUACAUCAGUGUAUUUACAGGAAAAACCAAUGGUUAUAUAUAUGCUGAAAAGAAUUAAGGCUGAAAAGAAUAUUCAUCUACUAUUUCUUGAUGUAUGCUAUCGUAUAUUGCUUCUCUACUUGCUCAAAAUCAAAUUUCCAUCUAUGAAAAGGUAAGAAAUUAAGGCCAGCGAGAUGGCAGUAGAUUGGCAUGUUUACAGAAAAAACAAAUAGCUGUGCAAGUUUGAAAGAACAUCUGUUUACUAUUCCUUGCUAUAUGCAUAUUUCCCAUCUUCUUCCUUCGGAAUCAAUCAAUCAAAUGUGCAUCUACUAAAGGGUAAUAAAUUAAGGCUGCAAUCUAAGAAUACUUUUAUUUGUCAUUCUGAAUUUCUAUCACAGCACAGAGGAACGAGGAAUGGAUACAUGAGGCAUAGCGUAAGCGUAGGGGUCAGCCAGAGCACGACGCAAGAGUCUGCCCAUCUCCUCUCAAAGAACACAGACGUCGGUAGCAGGAGAAAGUAUGUGACUUGGUUGAGUCAGCCAAGAAAUAUGGUGGUUGGUCAGGAAACUGAAGCUGCAGCUACGAAGAGCCAAAGAACAUUCUUGCUGAACAGGCUAAAGCCAAGAGGAGGCAGAUAUGUGAUUCUCAUGUGAUCCUUUUGCUGGAAACUUGCUAAUCUUAGGGGUGCUGCUACUGGUGUAAAAACCAUUUUAUCAAAAGAACUAAAGUAGUAGCUAAUGCAAGCAUUGAAGAAUUGACGCAGAGGUUACGCUAUAUUGGCAUGAAGUCAGAGCAGUGCCUGAAUACUACAUAAGAUAGUUUCUGGUGACCUUGAGUCUAUAUGUCCUAACCAACAGCAGCCACCUUUUAUUUCGUAUCAAUCGAUCCAGUAUCUUUCCCCUUUUGGCAUUGCUCUGAGCAAGAUAUGUAUAGCCUUUACAUUUCCACUCGUGUACACUUUAGACCUCAUUACUGUCUCUGUGGGGAAGUUUGUGAUCACUUGUUCUAUAUAAGUAAUCAACUGCCCUUCUACUAAUAUUUUCAGAAGACUAUUUAUGUAUGUUUAUACUGGUUAGAGAAAAUCAUGACAUUGCCAGCAACAAUUUUUAUUUC